rnacentral:rRNA from 1 species
UACAGAGGUCUCAAGCGUUGUUCGGAAUUACUGGGCGUAAAGGGUGCGCAGGCCGCGCGGGCAGUCAAAUGUGUAAUUCAGGGGCUUAACCCCUGCACUGCGCUUGAUACUUCCGCGCUCGAGCUUUGGAGAGGAGUCUGGAAUUCUCGGUGUAGCAGUGAAAUGCGUGGAUAUCGAGAAGAACACUUAGGGCGUAGGCAAGACUCUGGACAAAUGCUGACGCUCAUGCACGAAGGCUAGGGUAGCGAACGGG